GGUUCAUCUUCCUCUCCAACCUGCCGAAUCGCGCCCUCCGCUCGCCGGGCCGAUAUCAUAUCAAGCCCAUCAUAUAUGUAUUGGCCCAUUGAGGAUACCGUCCAGGUCCAGGAGUACGAUGAGUCAAUGACCCUUCCUUUCAAUUAGCCCGCAGGCGUCGAGGCGAUAACGCACAGCGGCGGGCGGCGUGAACCUUGCGGGCGGCGGCGUGCUCCACCACCUGCCGGGGGUAUAGCGGCGGCGAGUCAGCAAGAACAAGCUGAUGGCAUUACGGAAAACAACCCAGAACCAGUCAGGCAAACGAUCAAUUAUGUUCGUGUUUGAAAUAUCGAGGUGAACUAUCUCUGGAGCCUGUCUCAGCCAUGCAGGAAAUUGAGGCCCCAAGUCACAUGAUCUGAAAAACCCAAUUGUUAAUAAUUGGAAUGGAGGAACCCAAUCUUCCCCUAAACCCAAUCUUAAAGAGUUGUCUUCAAGGUCCAGAGUAUCCAAGUUCACCAGGCCUGCAAAAUGUUCUUCGGAGAGCAAGCCACUGAGCUUAUUUGAGCCAAGGCCCAGGUAAUUCAAGUUGCUAAGUGCUCCUAUCCCAAUAGGUACAUGACCGACUAGCUCAUUCACAGAUAGAUCCAGGGAAACGAGACUCGACAAAUUUCCUAUCCAAACGGGUAUCUCUCCAGUCAAAUUUGACCGGUAAAAGUUGAGCACACGUAGUUUAUUCCAUGAGCAUUUUGGUAAUCUUUCCAUCAGUUUUUCUAUGUCUCCAUUUAUAUUGACCUCUUCAAAGUUCAAUAUCUGUAAAUCACAGAGACUCGCCAAGUUUCUGGGUAUGUUUCCUGACAAUAUAUGGUUCUGGCUUAAGUCUAUGACUUGGAGAGAGGACAUAUUGCCUAAUGCAUCAGGAAUAGGCCCAGACCAUUCAGAAUUUGACAGAUGAAGCUCCUUAAGGCUGGUGAGACCCCAGAACCAGUUGUGGUGGACUGAAAAGUUAAAUGAGUUUCUUGACAGAUCAAGGACCUCAAUAUGGGUGAGGUUGGAAUGGGUCAGGGUUUUUUCAACUCCGCCGCUAAACCUGCAGUCUGACAAUCGAACAACUCGAAGAGCAGGAAGCAUGUUGAGCCACUGAACCCAGUCCCUUGCAGAACUGAGGUCUACUCCGCUCAUAUCAAGAUUCCUUAGCAGAGAAAGAUGAUGCAACCACGAGAGAUCUUGUGUGUUCAGAUCGUUAUUGCUAAUGUCAAAACAUCGCAACUCGGAGAGAUUUCCAAUACGAGAAGGAAUUUCCCCAUGGAAAUUUGCGUUUGAGAAGUUAAUAUACCUCAAACUCCUUAAAGCCCCCAUGAACAGCGGAAUGCGUGCUUGCUUGAAGUCGUUGUAGCUGAGGUCCAAGUACCUUAGAUGCUUCAGAGAAACAAUUGAGGAGGGCAUCUCACCUGCCAACAAGCUCAAUCGAGAAUCCUGAUUCAUGCCAUGGGGGUGAGGGUUGCGCAGGUCGAGCUUGAUGACAUGACCAGUCCUAUUGUCACACUGGAUUCCCCUCCAUUGGCAACAAGCUCGACCAUGCCAUGACGAAAGGCGACGGGAAGGAUCUGACAGGCUUGCCUUGAAGGUGAGGAGUGCGGUCCACUCGUUUGUCAUGCAGCUUCUGCCAUCUGCUCUUUGCUCUUGCUCUCGCUCAUGGGUGGAAGAAGUGGAUUGUGCAUAUUGUAAGACCAGGAGGAUGAACACUAUUAUAGCAGCUCCUUGGAACCGGCGAUGAGCAGUCAUCAUUUUCUUGUUAAUAAAAUUUGACAGACGUCUCUACAACCAUAAUCCUAGUAUACAUCUUAAAUAGGUGUGGAUGCAAUGGCGAGUGAGCAACCUUCUAGAUUAUCGGGUCCUUGAUUUUUAUGUGUACUUGGAAAUUUGAAAUUGUUGAAAUUGUUCGUGACAAGUCUCGGUCGCCCUUUUAAUCGUAGCUUCGGUCGCCCAUGUUGCAGUGGUUACCUAAUUCAUUUGAUGGAGAGACUUGGCUAAUCUAUAUGGACUAUUUUGAUAAGUGGAAAUUGUUGCAGAAACUAUGUACAUAUGACCACUUCCGCCCGCAAUACUAGCGGUUGAUCUGGUAGGGAUCUUAGCAGCCGGAAAUGUAGAACAUGGUCAUGUUCCAUGUCCUGAGAACCUUUACGUUCUCGAUUCAAGUUCUUGUUCCCGUUCUAUGUUUUCUGUUCCUUUGUUGAAACAUGCGAUUGCAGAAAGCGAUGCUUUGAAACACGCACGUCGCUAGGAAAAAGAGCAAAUGAAUCAUAAGUCUUUGUCUAUCUUUCCUCUUUCUUUUUAUAGGAAAGGUGCGAGGGAAAAUUUUCAUAAUUUCUUAUAAUAGGGUUUGUAUUUAAAAAAUAUUUUUAAAGAAAUCAUUAUCUCACAAAAUUGCUGGUAAAUGUAUUUAUUCUAGAUAUAUGGAUAUUUAUUAUAGCCUUAUAGCCUUAUUGCUGCUAAUUUGUUAAAAGAUGUUAGAAAGAAAAGAAAUGGAAAAAAAGGAAAAGAGAUUGUAUGGGCUUUUAAUUAGUGGCCCAUCUACAAAUCCAUUCAAUCCGCACAACCCAGACACCGCCGCAUCAUACCUCGCAGCGCCGACGCUCUGCUCGCGACGGAGGGGAAGUCCCAGGCUCGGCGGCGGCGUCAGCGGCUUCCCCCUCCCGCCUCUCGCCAGUCGCCUCGCGCCCUCGCCUCCGUCCUCCGCACACCGGCCGGCGACCCUGCGUACGCACCUCCCUCUCCCCUCCCGCCAGCUGCCCAGGGUGGCCGGGCCUUGGCUCUGCUGGUGGAACUGGGAGCAGGGGCCAAGAAGCUGCAGGCUUUCUGGAAUCACGUUUCUUGAGAACUGUCUGUUGCAUGCCUAAACUAGGCUCUUGUUCAUAUUAUGGAUCAGCAACCUAAGAUUGAGGUUGAUUUUCUUGACCCAACAUUACUCUUAGAUGAGACACAUUACCAGGAGGGAUAUAAAAAUGGCUAUAAUGAUGGUUUGGCAUCUGGAAAGGAAGAGGGAAGGCAGGUUGGUUUAAAGAUGGGUUUCCAAGUCGGUGAAGAACUGGGUUUCUUUCAGGGCUGUCUGGAUGUGUGGACGUCCGCAAUUCUCAUUGAUCAGAACGCCUUCUCAGCUCGGCUCAGGAAGAAUAUUGAGCAGCUAGCUGCACUGGUGAGCAGCUAUCCGCUGUCUGAUCCGGAGAAUGAACAGAUUCAAGACGUGAUGGAGAAGAUAAGGCUGAAAUUCAGGGCCAUCACUGCAAGCUUAGGCGUGAAGUUAGAGUAUGAAGGUCACCCCACAUCAUCAAAGCAGGAUGUUGAGGAUCUGUGAGCGCGAUGGACAUUACAUUUUAGUUUCUCUGUCUUUGCUUUCUUAAGCUCUCCAAAUCUUGUCUUCAACUUAUUGGGAUCAUGAGGAGCUACCCUGAGACAACAACGGUCAGAUUCAGAUCAUAAAUCACUUGUAUAGUUUUAACGAUGUCUUAAGUUUUGUCUUAUUACCUGCUGCCUGAGGUCUCCAUGUAUUGCCCAUGAUCAGUCAUUAGGGUUUCACCAGAGAUCCACUAGUAUACUUGUGUAAUAAUUCCCGUUUAGAACGCGAAAGCAUUAUUAUGAAUGGUAUUCCUUAUCAUUUGUUUGAAGUACUCGUUGACUUAUUGUAUCCUACAUGUUGGGAGCAUAUUUAUCUCCUUGUAAAAACACACAUCCCAUAUAUUGCAAAUCUGCAUAGAUCUACUUCUCGUAA